AUAAUUUCUGUAUUAUUUAAAAAAGUUUUGUUACACAUUUUGUUACACCUUAGUUAUACAGUAACCCGGAUUGGUUGACCAUUGUGAAGUUGAGUUUUUGGGGUAGCAUAAAUUUAUAUCGUUGUAUUCCUUUUGUUUGUGUUAACCAAUUGUCGUUCGGAAUUAUUUUUUAUACGUCAUUUAUUUAUCUUGCAAUUUCUUGUAAUUUAGUUUGCGUCUUAUUUCUUUGGUGUCAUAUUCACCGUACGGCCUUCAACAAUGAGCAAAGCCCAUACCGCAUAGUCAGCUAUAAAAGGCCCAGAUAUAACAAAGUAAAACAAUUCAAACGAGAAAACUAACGGCCUUAUUUAUAUAAAAAAAAUGAACGAAAAACAAAUAUGUAACACAUAAACAAACAACAACCACUGAAUUACAGGCUCCUGACUUGGGACAGGCACAUACAUAAAUAAUGUGGCGGGGUUAAACAUGUUAGCGGGAUCUAUGUUUGUGUUCGAUCAUACAGUAUAAUAAGUCGGUAGUUGCCCGCGAAUGGAUUUUUUUUUAUUCUUUGCGUCUUAUUUGUUGAUUGCAGUUGGUUUUUGUUUUGUGUCAUGUGGAGAUAUGAUGUGAUUUUGUUUUUCUUUUGAUGUGUUUGCAUCUUAAAUUGGGAUUGCACCGAGUUAUUUCAUGAUUUCUUUUGUGCUAUAUUUUCGAUACAUUUUUAGUCUAUCUUAUAGCAUCUUACAAUUGUCCGGCGACAUAAUGUGAUACUUUUUUUUGUUCGCCAAUAUUAUUCAUACGAUUUGAAUUUACUAUUUAUAUCUUUUUCUUUUCUUAUUAGUUUACCUACAGUCGAAAAUUUGCAAGACAUUAAGAGUCUUUACUUAUUUAACCGUUUUACAUUAGACUCAAUUUUAUUAUAGUUUAUCACAUAAAGACUCGAUUGUAUUAUAGUACUUUACUUGAAUAACCGUCCCACUGUUAGUUGUAUGUUAGUUCUUCACAACUCAGAAACAGAUUCAAGAAUAUCAAAGUUCCCUUAUAUUAAUUUUUACCGUAUACGGUGGCUCACUCUAUUUUUCUCAUACUUGCUCACUAUUAACAAGUCAAGUACUAUAGUAGUACACCGGUGUCUUCAUAUUUCAUGUACUGCACAUGCGUAUAUAUAUUACUCGAGUGUGAAACAUGCAGACAAUACUCUAC
rnacentral:lncRNA from 1 species